rnacentral:misc_RNA from 1 species
CUGUUAAUUUUAAAGGCCCCCUCACGAAGAAAAAGGCGGCGCCUUCUGAAUUCUAUCAAUCGAAAGUCGACCGCCAGUUUUUUCAGUUGGUAAGACUGAAUGGCCGCCCCGGCUGGUCGAACGGUUUCGCUUGCGCCCAGCUUGUAAUUUUCUGACUUUUCCUCCUGUUUUUCAUCACCCUCGUCUUUUCGCCUUUUCCUCUUUACCCGUUUCACCCUCAUUUAUGCCGACAAACACGCGAGUGCCACCCCUGGAACCGGAACAUAGAAGAAUUUCUGUUUGUCUGGAAUCGCCCAACGGUAAACGCUUGGUUCAAUGGAAAUAAAUGCAAGGACGAAGUCUGCCUCGUCGCUCCUGCGCCUGUCGUCAUCGGAAAGAGAUCCACGCACGAAGACCUAGACCCAAACCGAGAAUUGAAAAAGGUAAGAAUUUCUAAUAAUUUAGAAUAAUUUCGAUAAA